UCAGACGAUGCGUCAUGCAUAUCAAUAAGCGGAGGAAAAGAAACUAACAAGGAUUCCCCUAGUAACGGCGAGUGAAGCGGGAAGAGCUCAAAUUUGAAAUCUUAAAGGGUUUCCCUUUACGAAUUGUAGUUUAAAGAAGUGUUUUCUGUUGAGGUUUUGGUAAAAGUUCUUUGGAAUAGGACAUCAUAGAGGGUGAGAAUCCCGUAUUUGACCUUUACUUUCAACUUUGUGAUACACUUUCAAAGAGUCGGAUUGUUUGGGAAUGCAGUCCAAAAUGGGUGGUAAAUUUCAUCUAAAGCUAAAUAUUGGCGAGAGACCGAUAGCGAACAAGUACCGUGAGGGAAAGAUGAAAAGAACUUUCGAAAAGAGAGUUAAACAGUACGUGAAAUUGUCAAAAGGGAAGCGUUUGACACCAGUGUUGUUUUUCUGAAAAUCAAUUAAAGAACUGUUUAUGCUAAGCUGUUUAGACUUUAUCAGCUAUCUGUUUAGUUUUGAGCUUUUCUUUAAUGCACUUUUCAGUUAACAAGUCAACAUCAAUUUCUUUUGCUGUAAAAAAGCUUGAGGAAGGUGGCUUGAGAUUCGUCUUAAGUGUUUAUAGCCUCUUGCCUAUGCAGUCGGAGAGAUUGAGGUCUGCAGCGUAGAUCCUUCGGGGCUAAAUGCAUUUGUGCUAAGUUAUAGCAUUUUAUAGACAACUUGUUGACUAUGAUUUGUCUUGUAGCUUACUCGCUUAUGUUAUUUUACCUACGCUUAGGAUGUUGACACACGCGCGUGCUCG
rnacentral:rRNA from 1 species